UACGUAGGGGGCAAGCGUUGUCCGGAAUCAUUGGGCGUAAAGAGCGUGUAGGCGGCCCGGUAAGUCCGCCGUGAAAGUCCAGGGCUCAACCCUGGGAUGCCGGUGGAAACUGUCGGGCUCGAGUCCGGAAGAGGCGAGUGGAAUUCCUGGUGUAGCGGUGAAAUGCGCAGAUAUCAGGAGGAACACCGGUGGCGAAGGCGGUUCUCUGGGCCUUACCUGACGCUGAGGAGCGAAAGCAUGGGGAGCAAACAGG
rnacentral:rRNA from 1 species